UAGCUCAAGUGGUAGAGCACGUGCUUAGCAUGCACAAGGUCCUGGGUUCAAUCCCCAG
rnacentral:tRNA from 1 species